rnacentral:rRNA from 1 species
AGAGUUUGAUCCUGGCUCAGAUUGAACGCUGGCGGCAUGCCUUACACAUGCAAGUCGAACGGUAACAGGUCUUCGGACGCUGACGAGUGGCGAACGGGUGAGUAAUACAUCGGAACGUGCCCGAUCGUGGGGGAUAACGGAGCGAAAGCUUUGCUAAUACCGCAUACGAUCUACGGAUGAAAGCAGGGGACCGCAAGGCCUUGCGCGGACGGAGCGGCCGAUGGCAGAUUAGGUAGUUGGUGGGAUAAAAGCUUACCAAGCCGACGAUCUGUAGCUGGUCUGAGAGGAUGAUCAGCCACACUGGGACUGAGACACGGCCCAGACUCCUACGGGAGGCAGCAGUGGGGAAUUUUGGACAAUGGGCGCAAGCCUGAUCCAGCCAUGCCGCGUGCAGGAUGAAGGCCUUCGGGUUGUAAACUGCUUUUGUACGGAACGAAAAGCUUUCCUCUAAUAAAGGGGGGUCAUGACGGUACCGUAAGAAUAAGCACCGGCUAACUACGUGCCAGCAGCCGCGGUAAUACGUAGGGUGCAAGCGUUAAUCGGAAUUACUGGGCGUAAAGCGUGCGCAGGCGGUUUUGUAAGACAGAGGUGAAAUCCCCGGGCUCAACCUGGGAACUGCCUUUGUGACUGCAAGGCUGGAGUGCGGCAGAGGGGGAUGGAAUUCCGCGUGUAGCAGUGAAAUGCGUAGAUAUGCGGAGGAACACCGAUGGCGAAGGCAAUCCCCUGGGCCUGCACUGACGCUCAUGCACGAAAGCGUGGGGAGCAAAAAGGAUUAGAUACCCUGGUAGUCCACGCCCUA